UCGAGCGGAUGAAGGGAGCUUGCUCCCUGAUUUAGCGGCGGACGGGUGAGUAAUGCCUAGGAAUCUGCCUGGUAGUGGGGGAUAACGUUCCGAAAGGAACGCUAAUACCGCAUACGUCCUACGGGAGAAAGCAGGGGACCUUCGGGCCUUGCGCUAUCAGAUGAGCCUAGGUCGGAUUAGCUAGUUGGUGAGGUAAUGGCUCACCAAGGCGACGAUCCGUAACUGGUCUGAGAGGAUGAUCAGUCACACUGGAACUGAGACACGGUCCAGACUCCUACGGGAGGCAGCAGUGGGGAAUAUUGGACAAUGGGCGAAAGCCUGAUCCAGCCAUGCCGCGUGUGUGAAGAAGGUCUUCGGAUUGUAAAGCACUUUAAGUUGGGAGGAAGGGCGUUUGGCUAAUAUCCAAGCGUUUUGACGUUACCGACAGAAUAAGCACCGGCUAACUUCGUGCCAGCAGCCGCGGUAAUACGAAGGGUGCAAGCGUUAAUCGGAAUUACUGGGCGUAAAGCGCGCGUAGGUGGUUCGUUAAGUUGGAUGUGAAAGCCCCGGGCUCAACCUGGGAACUGCAUCCAAAACUGGCGAGCUAGAGUACGGUAGAGGGUAGUGGAAUUUCCCUGUGUAGCGGUGAAAAUGCGUAGAUAUAGGAAGGAACAC
rnacentral:rRNA from 1 species